rnacentral:rRNA from 1 species
GGUAUUUUGACCGUGCAAAGGUAGCAUAAUCAUUAGUUUUUUAAUUGAAAGCUGGUAUGAAAGGUUGGAUGAGAAAUAAGCUGUCUCUAUUUAAUUUUAUUAGAAUUUUAUUUUUAAGUUAAAAAGCUUAAAUUUUAAUAGAAGACGAGAAGACCCUAUAGAGUUUUAUUUAUUUAUUUAAUAAAAUUAAUAGUAUUAAUUAUUUUUAUUAAAGAAAUAAAUUUGGUUGGGGUGACUGAAAAAUUUAAUAAACUUUUUUUGUAAGUGUACAUUUAUAUAUGAUUAAUUGAUCCUUAGUUUAAGAUUAAAAGAUAAAAUUACCUUAGGGAUAACAGCGUAAUUUUUUUUGAGAGUUCUAAUCGAAAGAAAAGAUUGCGACCUCGAUGUUGGAUUAAAAUAAAAUUUUGGUGUAGAAGCUAAAG